AACAAGGUUUCCGUAGGUGAACCUGCGGAAGGAUCAUUG
rnacentral:rRNA from 236 species